AUUGAACGCUGGCGGCAUGCCUUACACAUGCAAGUCGAACGGCAGCACGGGAGCUUGCUCCUGGUGGCGAGUGGCGAACGGGUGAGUAAUACAUCGGAACGUACCCAGUAGUGGGGGAUAACGCACCGAAAGGUGCGCUAAUACCGCAUACGACCUAAGGGUGAAAGCGGGGGACCGUAAGGCCUCGCGCUAUUGGAUCGGCCCAUGUCUGAUUAGCUAGUUGGCGGGGUAAAGGCCCACCAAGGCGACGAUCAGUAGCUGGUCUGAGAGGACGAUCGGCCACACGUGGACUGAGACACGGGCCAGACUCCGACGGGAGGCAUCAGUGGGGAAUUUUGGACAAUGGGGGCAACCCUGAUUCAGCAAUGCCGCGUUUGCGAAGAAGGCCUUCGGGUUGUAAAGCACUUUUGUCAGGGAAGAAAUCUUGUGGGCUAAUACCCCGGAAGGAUGACGGUACCUGAAGAAUAAGCACCGGCUAACUACGUGCCAGCCGCCGCCGUAA
rnacentral:rRNA from 1 species